rnacentral:tRNA from 3 species
GGGCGAAUGGUUUAGUGGUAUAAUACUCCCUUAGCAUGUUUUCUCUUAAGAGACGUCCUUCUGGGAGUGGUCCAGGGUUCGAUUCCCUGUUCGUCCA